UCCCUCUCAUGGUCGCAUCUGGAGAGUUUCCAGUAUUCUACCAGUCUCGGCUACAGGAGGGAAAGUCAAGCAGAGGCCUACUCAUUCCAUUCCUAGCUUGGGCAGUGGCUAGCAAGUGGAAGGCAAUCUGCUACAAGU